UUGAAGGUCUUCUCUUUCUGGUGUAAAUAAGGGUUUGAGGGUUUCCAUGUCAUUUACCACCCUCUGGAGUUUGGAGGCAAAUCCUUGAGAUACUUGAAAAGCAAAUAUACCAAACGGCAGGAAAGAUGCUGUAAAAUUCUUUCAUGGUGGUCAAAAACUUUAAACCAGAAGAGAAAAAGGAAUAUCUUCCACCAGAAUUUUCAUUUUCAGAUCUUCAAUUUGUACCACAAGACCAAGGACCUGUGUAUAAUUGGGUCAUUGACAUAUCUUUUCAGUGCACUGUGCGUAUUAAUGCCUUGGUCCCUUAGCUACUGCAUUUCUUCUGAUUAGUCUUGAUAACUCCCUUGAACUUUUGCAUAUAUGGUACUCUUAUCUCUGUACAUGCCUGGCCGACCAAGCUUGUCUAAGUGCUAUGUAAUGCAUUAGAGUUACCUAAUCCGCGGUUCCUUAUCCGAUGUGCAAUCUGGAGCGUGUGACGCCAAACGCGGCGUGAUAACAUCAAAAUAUCUGACAAUCUGAACUGUAGAUCAGACGCUGCAUCUUACCAAACGCUGCUUAUAUCUCAGUAUCAUUCUGUACUUCUAUACCUUCCUGUAUCAGCUUUUCUCAUCAAUCGCUUCGCUUGUUAUUAUAACGUUUGCGCAAAAGAUGUUAAAAUUGACGAGACAAUACAAAAGGGUUGGCUAUCUUGGCUUCUAUUCCUUCAUUAUAAAUAACCCUCUAAGCUCAAACCUGCUAACAAAUAAACAGCUUCUUGUACUUUAACUUCUAUUUUGAGCCAUGAGAAUUCCUAAACUCUCUCUCUUCAUGUUCAUUGUUGUCAUUCUAGCUCUACUUCAUGCUUCUGGUUGCCUGCGGCACAUCACCGGGUGCUGUACCAGCAGUGAAGAAGUUCAAUCCAAACCGAGAGUAGGAGCCGGGGUUUCUACUGAUGAAUUUAGGCAUCUUGGUGCAGCUGAUUCGCAUACUGCAGGAUCUCGAUAUAAGAAGAUGAACCAAAUAAGCGCUGUUGCUCAUCAAGCUGUCCCUAGUGGACCAAACCCUCUUCACAAUUAAGUGGAUUUCAAGGAGACUUCUAGUGUUUCCAGUUUAAGUAUCGAAUCUGUUGUUUUCAGUUCAUGGGAGAUCAGACGCACAGAUUAUUAGAGCACUUGAAACUUAUUGAUAUGUACUGGUUUGAGUUUGAGUUCUACUUUGUGGAAUGCACACUAGUGAAGUAUUUUUUUUUUCUUCUUUAAUUUCUUUUGAAACUAUACAUGUAUAAUAAGUAUAAUACAGUUCUAGUCUGCUAGAGAUAAAUUACCAAAAUCAAUCAUGUAAGUUUUGGCAUUCUAUGAAAUUUUCUAUUGUCAGAAACUAGCACUUCCUAUUCUAUGUCAAA